rnacentral:lncRNA from 1 species
CAUGAGUGUUGGUCCAAAACAGAGCAGCUUAUUAACGCUACCCGGGGCAACUCGGCGUUUGGCGUGGUAACCAUAGCUCAUCCGUCGUGUCCUGAGAACGAGGUACGCGACUCCUAUCGGGAUCGUUGACACGUCGGGCGGCCUUGAUGGAUUAGUUUUACCUUUGACGAGAUAUCUUGUGCAUCGGGAUUCUGGUGAUGCU